GAUGAACGCUGGCGGCGUGCCUAACACAUGCAAGUCGAGCGAUCUACUUCGGUAAAGAGCGGCGGACGGGUGAGUAACGCGUGGGUAACCUGCCCUGUACACACGGAUAACAUACCGAAAGGUAUGCUAAUACGAGAUAAUAUACUUUUAUCGCAUGGUAGAAGUAUCAAAGCUCCGGCGGUACAGGAUGGACCCGCGUCUGAUUAGCUAGUUGGUAAGGUAACGGCUUACCAAGGCGACGAUCAGUAGCCGACCUGAGAGGGUGAUCGGCCACAUUGGAACUGAGACACGGUCCAAACUCCUACGGGAGGCAGCAGUGGGGAAUAUUGCACAAUGGGCGAAAGCCUGAUGCAGCAACGCCGCGUGAGCGAUGAAGGCCUUCGGGUCGUAAAGCUCUGUCCUCAAGGAAGAUAAUGACGGUACUUGAGGAGGAAGCCCCGGCUAACUACGUGCCAGCCGCCGCCGUAAUAC
rnacentral:rRNA from 1 species